UGCAUAAUUCCGCAUGAAUUUGUUAAAAUAAACAGUGAGUUCUUUUUCUGAAUACCCAAAAGAGUCAAAUACUUCAAGACUGUUCUUUCUAUUACAGAAAAAUGCUACCCAAUGUCUUCCUGGUAAGCCUGUGACAUCUGUAUUGGCUAUCACACCCAUUCCUGGUAGCAGGUGAACUUGAGACAGUUCAUCAGAUGAGAAUACACCAAGAACAGAUCGUUGUAAGUCAACGUCUGAAACAAUGACACACUUUAGCUCGAACAUAAUGUGGAACUUCGAAAAUGUUUGACCAGUUUCCCAUGGAGGCUGCACUCAACCUUCGAAGAAGUGGCUUUUGUUCUCCAUCGACAAUAGAUUCACCACAUAUAUUAGAAUACAAAACCUGAAUCCACAGAUACUUUGAAAAGAUAUCCACGACGACUAAUAGGUACCGAAAAUUACUGUUUUCACUCGCUAUGCU